rnacentral:rRNA from 1 species
CGGAGGAUCCAAGCGUUAUCCGGAAUCAUUGGGUUUAAAGGGUCCGUAGGCGGGUUUAUAAGUCAGUGGUGAAAGCCCAUCGCUCAACGAUGGAACGGCCAUUGAUACUGUAGAUCUUGAAUUAUUAGGAAGUAACUAGAAUACGUAGUGUAGCGGUGAAAUGCUUAGAGAUUACAUGGAAUACCAAUUGCGAAGGCAGGUUACUACUAAUGGAUUGACGCUGAUGGACGAAAGCGUGGGUAGCGAACAGGAUUAGAUACCCUGGUAGUCCACGCCGUAAACGAUGGAUACUAGCUGUUCGGAGCAAUCUGAGUGGCUAAGCGAAAGUGAUAAGUAUCCCACCUGGGGAGUACGUUCGCAAGAAUG